rnacentral:rRNA from 1 species
CUUGGUGAUUUAGCUCAAUGUGACCCACCUCUUCCCAUUCCGAACAGAGAAGUGAAAGCAUUGAGCACCGAUGAUAUUGCCCUAAUUUGUUGGGUGAGAAAGUAGGUUUCGCCUGGA